ensembl:rRNA 5S_rRNA 5S ribosomal RNA
GUCUAUAGCCAUUCCACCCUGACUGUGCCCAAUCUUGUCUGAUCAUGGAAGCUAAGCAAGGUCAGACCUUGUUAAUAAUUGGAUGGGAAAGAGAUGGAGUACUACACU